UACGGAGGGGGCGAGCGUUAUUCGGAAUUAUUGGGCGUAAAGGGCGCGUAGGCGGCUCGAUAAGUCAAAGGUGAAAUCCCUCGGCUCAACUGAGGAACUGCCUUUGAAACUGUCGAGCUCGAGUCCGGGAGGGGGUAGCGGAAUUCCCAGUGUAGCGGUGAAAUGCGUAGAUAUUCGGAAGAACACCAGUGGCGAAGGCGGCUCACUGGCCCGGUACUGACGCUGAGGUGCGAAAGCGUGGGGAGCAAACAGG
rnacentral:rRNA from 1 species